rnacentral:rRNA from 1 species
CCUACGGGAGGCAGCAGUAGGGAAUCUUCCGCAAUGGGCGAAAGCCUGACGGAGCAAUGCCGCGUGAGUGAAGAAGGCCUUCGGGUCGUAAAACUCUGUUAUAAGAGAAGAACAAAUUGUAGAGUAACUGCUACAGUCUUGACGGUAUCUUAUCAGAAAGCCACGGCUAACUACGUGCCAGCAGCCGCGGUAAU